rnacentral:lncRNA from 1 species
UUCUAGAAUUCUCCAAAUUGUUUUCAUUAAUGGAAUUGAAAGUUUUCAUUCCUUAGGAUUUAUUUUGCUUACCAAUGGUUUCAUACUUGGAUGCCAAAAUGACUUUUUAUAAUAGUCUUAGAUGGCCAACAAAUAAUGCAAUCUGAUUUUGAAAAUUGGCCUUUUACGAGUUCUUCGGCACAAAGCAGAAUCCACUGUACUCAGGAAAAAAGUACCUGGAAGUUCUUGAUUUACUUAAACCUGCUUGAACACAAAGAUCACUCAAAACCUCCCUUAACCUAAACAUGCAUAACUCUCCAUCAAACUCCCAUAAAACCUUCAAAAAUCAAGAAAGGAAGUUCAGGAUCUUCACUUACCUCUUCCAAACAAGAGAAUAAAGGAUCCCAACGUGGAGAUAUGGAGAAAUCCUCUCUCAAAGUCUCCAAGCUUCCAAACUUUGCUCUUUUGCUAAAAAACUUCAAAAACACAUGAAAAUCCAUCAAAACCAUGAACACUGCAGAAUCCACUGUACUCAGGAAAAAAGUACCUGGAAGUUCUUGAUUUGGAACUAACUUCUUUUAUCUCUCUUCCUAUAUAUUUGAGUUAAUUUCUCCAGAAAUAUAAGUUUCCUGUUUCUUAUAUACAUUUGCACUAUGAUGAUUCAGACUUAGUAGCUGGCAUGUCAAGGUAACAUGUUACAGAUGUUGCUUCUGUUAAUAGCAGAUGGAAAAUUGAUUUGCAGAUGUUAUAUUUUAUUUUAUUUUCUAAUUAAGUAGAUUAUAAAGAUAGAUGGAAAAUAACUAACUAGAUGGUAAAGUGUUAACUUUGUUACUACUGAAUAUGUGAAAGGUUCUUGAUUUACACCUAUCCAUUAAUUGACUUAUUUAUGUAUUACCUAUAAUAACUGAAUUAAGUUUUAAAUUACUACUUUUUAUAUAUACACAAAAAGGCUAAAAGGCCAAAUUUACCUCUAAACUAUACAACGGGGCUGAAAAUGCCAAAUUUUAUCUUUCAAUCCAAAUUUACCCUAAACUAUUAUUAAGAGGCCAAAUAAGGCCCUUAUUUGUUAGGAUCUUAGAGUGCAAGCUACGCUCUCAUCAAUUUUUAUUUAACCUUUUAAUGAUAGUUUAGGGGCAAUUUUGGACCAAUAUAGUUUAGGGGCAAUUUUGGACCAAAAGAUGAAAUUUUGCAUUUUUGACUCCUGCUGUUAGUUUAGAGGCAAAUUUGGUCUUUUUGCCAAAACAAGUCAUGAUCAUUGAUUUUUGUUAAAUUUUAUUUUGCUCAAGUCUAAAUUUCUAAUGAAGAUAAAACUUUCUUUGAUGUUACUUUCCAGUUAUUAUGUAUUUUACUGAAAAUAAUUUCAAAAAUAAGGCAAUAAAAUCUGGCAAACUAAUGCUUCUUAUUGUAAAUUUCAUAAACAUCCUAGCAUAAACCAUAAUUUUCUUCCACAAAUGAGCAAAAACACCAAUAAUAAAGACAAAUAACUAACCCUUUGCAAAAUGUGGAUGUAGAAGUGUGAUUAAUUCCUCUUCUUCACUUGAAAUAAAUCUUAGCUAAAUGAUGAUAUUAUCUCAAGAAAUGAAGGUGUGUAAAAGAUGGAAAUUCGGGAGAAACAGAAGGAAAGUGAAAACCAAGAAAGAAAACAUGCUUCUUGUCUCUGCUCUCAAAAGGAGCUUCUGCCCAUGUGAGUAACAGGCUAACAGCCAUUACCAUUUAAUGGCUAAUAUUAGCCAUUACCAAGACCAAUUUUUCUGUCCAUUAUUUAAUGUGGAUAACAGUAAGUCCCCCC